GACGAACGCUGGCAGCGUGCCUAACACAUGCAAGUCGAACGGGGCAGUCUCUUCGGAGACUGCUUAGUGGCGAACGGGUGAGUAACGCGUGAGGAACCUGCCUUUCAGUGGGGGACAACAGUUGGAAACGACUGCUAAUACCGCAUAACAUCUUCUGGGGACAUCCCCUAAAGAUCAAAGCUUUANGUGCUGAAAGAUGGCCUCGCGUCUGAUUAGCUAGUUGGUGAGGUAAACGGCUCACCAAGGCGACGAUCAGUAGCCGGUCUGAGAGGAUGAACGGCCACAUUGGGACUGAGAUACGGCCCAGACUCCUACGGGAGGCAGCAGUGGGGAAUAUUGGGCAAUGGGG
rnacentral:rRNA from 1 species